rnacentral:rRNA from 1 species
UCGUGAGACAGGUUAGUUUUACCCUACUGAUGAAUGUUAUCGCAAUAGUAAUUGAACUUAGUACGAGAGGAACAGUUCAUUCGGAUAAUUGGUUUUUGCGGCUGUCCGACCGGGCAUUGCCGCGAAGCUACCAUCCGCUGGAUUAUGGCUGAACGCCUCUAAGUCAGAAUCCAUGCUAGAAAGCGAUGAUUCUUUUGCCUCGCACAUUAUAGAUGGAUACGAAUAAGGUGCUUUUAGCAUCGCAGAACCAUAGCAGGCUGGCAGUGGUGCUCUUGACGGAAAGGUCUUGGGUGCUUGCCGGCGAAUUGCAAUGUCAUACUGCGCGAGGAUAAAUCAUUUGUAUACGACUUAGAUGUACAACGGGGUAUUGUAAGCAG